UACGUAGGGUGCGAGCGUUGUCCGGAAUUAUUGGGCGUAAAGGGCUCGUAGGCGGUUUGUCGCGUCAGGAGUGAAAACUCGGGGCUCAACCCCGAGCCUGCUUCUGAUGCGGGCAGACUAGAGGUAUGCAGGGGAGAACGGAAUUCCUGGUGUAGCGGUGAAAUGCGCAGAUAUCAGGAGGAACACCGGUGGCGAAGGCGGUUCUCUGGGCAUUACCUGACGCUGAGGAGCGAAAGUGUGGGGAGCGAAC
rnacentral:rRNA from 1 species